UGUUAUUUUCGACAGUUUUGCAGCAGUGAUGGAACGGUUGGUGGUAAAUUCCUUUAGGUGGCAGCAGGACUGCGCUGUACACAUUCUUUUCCAUGCUGGCUUUAGAGGCAGAUAGACGUAAUGGUAGUUUUCUGUAAAACAAGGAAAAUGGGAUCCAAACCGGGGACUUUCCAGCGUAUUGUCUGAAAUGUAUACUUUGUGUAAUAGCGGACCGGACUGUGUGAGGUUAAUCGGCUUUGAAGGGGAAAGCUGUGUCUACAGCUCAGUGCUGAAUUCUGCCGCCGGGAGUGACGUGGCCGCGGACUGUCAUCGAGGGUUCAUUGUUCUGGUGCAGCAGUUGGAUCGCCGAUCUUCUUUGUGGUGCAGGAGUUGGAUCGCCGACCUUCUUUGUGGUGCAGGAGUUGGAUCGCCGACUUUCUUUCUGGUGAAGGAACUGGAUCGCUGACCUUCGACAUCAAUGGUUUUUUUUUUUUGUCGUGACAGGGAGUACAGCUUCUACAGAUUCAUGUCCAAACUGGAUCAUUACUCGAACCAGUUGAUGAAGGUGUUUAGAAAAAAGGGUGGAGCAGCAAGACACAAAAUAAGCAUGAUCAUGGCAGCCAUGGACAAGUCUCCGCUGGUCACGCUGCCCGGGCUCCCCUGUCACUCCUCUCCACCACCAAACUCUGAACCAGCGUUCACCCGUGGAGGAGGAGGUGUCUCAUCCCUGCCUGCCUCAGCCCGUCCCCGCUGCCCCAGCCUCUGGAUCUCCCAGCAUGCCACAACCACUCUCUGUCGCUCGCCCACCCCAGCGGGGAACUAACCUGGACCGCAGGUCUCCAGUAGCCUGUCUGCCCCACUUCCAGUCCGUAGUGAGUUCCUGAGUUUUUCCUGGCUUUAGUUUCACGUUUAUCUAGUCUUUAGUUUCAGUCACUCACUCCCCCUUAGGUCUUUUGGCAUACCUAAUUUGUAGCAAAAUAAAAUUAAUUUCUGCCUGAUCCAGCUGUGAGUCUGUGUGUUCUCUGCCUGGGUUCACCACUGCCCAUGACAGUUUGACAAUAGACAAAUCUGUAUAGUAUAAUUUCCAAUAAUAUUAAGGAAUGCUGAGGUAAAUAUUACAGUAACUGCAUUAAUGGAAUACAUAAAAAUU
ensembl:lncRNA